rnacentral:rRNA from 1 species
UACGUAGGUGGCAAGCGUUGUCCGGAAUUACUGGGCGUAAAGGGCUCGUAGGCGGCCAACUAAGUCGGAUGUGAAAUCCCCAGGCUUAACCUGGGAACUGCAUCCGAUACUGGAUGGCUUGAAUCCGGGAGAGGGAUGCAGAAUUCCAGGUGUAGCGGUGAAAUGCGUAGAUAUCUGGAGGAAUACCGGUGGCGAAGGCGGCAUCCUGGACCGGCAUUGACGCUGAUGAGCGAAAGCUAGGGGGAGCAAACAGG